ensembl:lncRNA
ACCACAGUCAACACAAAGCCCAAGUUACAAAAUCAAACAAAAUUAGUCAAUGAAAAAUCUCUUUUAUUGAGUGUUUUUGGAAACGGAUGUACUGUUAGAUUUGAAAUUAAGAGGAUUUAUACAUGAAAGCUCUUCAAAAACAGUGGCACCACACUUUUACAUAGAGUCCAAAAUCCAGCAUCAAAGGACCACUCCUCAUGGACUGAACCGUCAAACAUGUUUAUACAUAAUAUACCUUCAGAAGUGGGUAAAUGUUUAUAAAAAUAAAAUUCUUCACAUACUGAAAUACUUGGAUUUUUAAAACUACAUUUUAAGAUGACCACUUCAGACUGAAGAUUUGUUUUGUUUUUUUAAAUUGUAAAAACAAAGUAAGAAAAAAAAAAGGCAGAAGGCAGGACAACAAAAUACAAGCAAUCAUAAAAUCAGGUCUGUAAAAUCCAGCAAAGAGGAAUUUGGCCACACACAGCCAUAAAGUAUCCUUUUAAAAACACGUUCAAAAAACAGAAAACACACAUACACAAAGUCACAUAGAUCUCAAUCUGGGGCCAGCUUGCAAAAUCUCGACCGAAUAAACUGAAAUAGUAAAAAUUGAGAAAAAUAGGUCUAGGUCUACUUAAUUAUUAGUAUACUCUGUAACGAAUUAAUGAGGACAGCUAAAACUUUAAUAUAAUGUCUCGAUAGUUUUCAACAUCCUAAACAAGUCUCCAUAUUUUUUCAUAGUGUAGGCACUUUUUGGCCCUAAUGUGCUUACAUGCAGUUUGUGGACCUUUGACGUUUCCUGUUCAGUCUCUUCUUGGCUGCUUCUGAGAACUUUAAUCGCCCCACUUUCUCCAGUAACAUCAGCUGACAGACAUUUAUAGCACAUCACCAUUAUUUUACAGUAUAGGCAUGUGACUUAUAUACAGUAUAAAACAGUAUAUAACUUUUUUUCUCCUCACACAGUAUUAGAACAAUAGCAGGACGUGAUACUUUGUGACCUUGUUGCAACUGCUAACCAGAAAUAAAAAAAGUGAUUCAAUGAUGUACAACCAAAUGAGUUCACUGUUCACAGCAUAAGAUAACACCGUUCUCUAAUAUUGUCACUAUGCUACUUCAAGCCAUAAAAUUAAAAUGCAGUUUGCAGGUUGCAACCAUUCCCGGACCAUAAAACAAAUAUGGUGCAAAAAGGGGACUUAAAGGUAACUUCACUGACAUCACAGCCCACAUUUUCCUUCACCAACAUACAAAGGGGCAAAUGAACUUUUCAGCAUAAGCAGAAAUGUUAUUUUAAACUCAAUAUUCCUCUAAGGGACUUUGUGUUUAUCCAUUUCCUGAAACAUCACAUAUAUAAUGUGCCAUUGCUUCACUUAGUGAAAAGGCAAAAAAAAAACCAAAUAUGGGAAGUUUCUCGCACAGCCAUUGUGUGACCACAGCCAGCGCAUUAAAAAUAAUGGGAAAAACAAGCCAGACUGUGUACAAGUCUGUGGGGGAAAAGAAUUAGAGUUAGCUGCUUUAAGGUAGGCCUAGCUUCUAAUUAACCAGUCUCUAGUGUAGGAGUGUAACCUUCAGUUUCUUACUUGCAUCGCCUUCUUGCUCACCAUGUCCUGUUUAACAACACCAACAUGAUGAUGACAGAAAGACUCAGGUUGAGGGUCUAAGAUGGGAUUUCACGCUAUUUUUUUUUUUAAUAUUCAGAUUAUGGGAACCCUGCUUUCACUCUGGCUCUCACACAGGACAGGCAUGCAACGAACCCUUUAUGUUCCUCACUAAACAAUUUAAGACAAACAUUUGACUCCUGCUGCAGAUUGUUGCUGCUUAUUUUUACUUCAAAACGUUUUUGAAGUACUCAACUUUACAGUUAAUAAAUAUGUAAAUAUGUGACAGUCACAAAUAACAUAUCUAGCUUUAAAUGAAUCGAUAAAUGAGUAUGACCUCUAUUCCUCAUCUGUGUAUCUGGAAUGUGACCAACCUUCCUGGAAAUGCGGGAACAUUACAGUACUACUAUACUAGCUGUCAAAAGUUUAAGAACCUAUACCAUAAGGACAUAAAAGCAGAAGAAGAAGAAGAAGUUGUCAGUGGAAUAGCUAAGCAGAAAAAGUGUGGCCUUCUCUAUGAUGCUGAGCACUCACUUGCCCUUAAGGUUUGAUAGUGAGAUUAGGCUGACUUAGAGGAGCCAUGUGUGUCACCAGUCAGGGGAUGAUAAUAGGAAAGAAAAAAAAGUAAGAUGCCAUUCAGUGCUUCUGUAUGUACACACUCACGCACACACUCACGCACGUACACACACACACACUCACGCACGUACACAAUGGGCAAUAAGAUACCUGGAUGAACAAUAUUAGUGUCCAUGGUGUUGCUGAAGUCACUUUGCACCAACAUAUGCUUCCUCCUCGUGGUUAGUCUUGUAGCUGCCGUUAUGCUGGGCGCAGGGUGAUGACGUCAUGUCCUCACUUGGUGUGGCUGAGCCUUCUCUGUCACUUUCUUCCUUUCCUUCUCUGACAUACCUCGCUUCAGCCUGAAAUGGCAACAAUGAACGAUCAACUUUGACCAACAAAAAUAUUCAAAGAGAAAAACGCUCAAGUGCAGGAAAACUAUGCUGUGCACAUUAACAAUUAUUUGAUACUUCCAUCUUUUUCAAACAGGAGUUUAUCUGACAGUUGUAAACAUCAAGUACUUAAGCUUAUAGUACAAAUAUGUACCUAAUCUCAUACUAAUUGAUAAUAAAAAUUAGUAUCUGGAAUAAGCUGAGGCAUCCCCUCAUGUUGUCCAAGAUAAGGACAAUUUUGGACAAUACCUCCCACCCAACAUGCUGGACAGCCACAGGAGCAUGCUCAGUGAAAGACUGAUUUACCCAAAUGCACCACUGAAAGACACAAGAAAUGAUUCCUGCCUGUGGCUCUCUCCCUAUACAACUCCAUCUAUAAUUACACCCUUUUGCACAUGCUCUACAGUGAAAAUAACAAUGUUUUACAGUUUACAGUAAAAUGUCAAUCAUAUAUAUUUAAUCUCUGUAAUAUUCUGCAUAUUUAUAAUUGAGCUUUCCGUAUAUAUUAGAGCUGUUUCUUAGAUUUUGUAACUUUGUAAUAUAUUACAUUUAGUUCAG